rnacentral:rRNA from 1 species
CAAUAGCGUAUAUUAAAGUUGUUGCAGUUAAAAAGCUCGUAGUUGGAUUUGUGGCGUACGGUGUGUUCCGGGCACUUGUUGUCUGAGUAACCUGCUGUUGCCAUCCUUGGGUGGAACCUGUGUGGCAUUAGGUUGUCGUGCAGGGGAUGCCCAUCAUUUACUGUGAAAAAAUUAGAGUGUUCAAAGCAGGCUUAUGCCGUUGAAUAUAUUAGCAUGGAAUAAUGAGAUAGGGCUUUUUUGCUAUUUUGUUGGUUUGCGCAAGAAGGUAAUGAUUAAUAGGGACAGUUGGGGGUAUUCGUAUUCCAUUGUCAGAGGUGAAAUUCUUGGAUUUUUGGAAGACGAACUACUGCGAAAGCAUUUACCAAGGAUGUUUUCAUUAA